rnacentral:tRNA from 1 species
GGUCCUGUAAUUCAGCGGCUAGAAAUCCUAUCUUACACGUAGGAAGUCGGUGGUUCGAAUCCACCCAGGACCA